ensembl:lncRNA
GGGCUAGCAAAAUCUGAGAAGAAGGAGAAGGUGGUGGAGGACAAGGACACUUAGUGAUAGGAGCUAAUGGAGAGGAAAGAGGCUGAAGCUAUAAAAGAAAGAGAAGUGGAAACAAUCCUGGAGACGGGUCAGUGGACCGGUUCAAGUGUUGAAGAUUCCACCACAACAGGGCCAACGACCUGCUAAAAACGAUGCUGAUGCCUGUAUACACUUUACUGAGCUGUUUGCUUAACUUUUGAGAUCGAGGUAAUGCGAGGAAUAUGAAUUUCUUUUUGAAGAACAUGCUGAAAGCUUCAACAUGCAGUAAGAAAACGCAAGCAAAAAUUAAAUAGAAGAGCUACAAGAAAUGCUGGGGAAAUGCUGGGGAAUUCUGGGGGCUUGUUUGUAGAGGAAACACAGGACUUUGGGGUCAACUUUCAGAAAGCCCAAGAUAGACAUCAAUAUGUCUCCAAACAGCCACAAGACCUCUAAGAAUCCUAUUCACCUGAGCGAUCUUAGGGUGAUCUGUGCUGGACAAACAAAGCACGCCC